CAGUAGCCGCGGGAAUACGUAGGGUGCAAGCGUUAAUCGGAAUUACUGGGCGUAAAGCGUGCGUAGGCGGCUAAUUGAGUCGGAUGUGAAAUCCCCGAGCUUAACUUGGGAAUUGCAUUCGAUACUGGUUAGCUAGAGUGUGGGAGAGGAUGGUAGAAUUCCAGGUGUAGCGGUGAAAUGCGUAGAGAUCUGGAGGAAUACCGAUGGCGAAGGCAGCCAUCUGGCCUAACACUGACGCUGAGGUACGAAAGCAUGGGGAGCAAACAGGAUUAGAUACCCCAGUAGUCCCUGUCUCUUAUAC
rnacentral:rRNA from 1 species